rnacentral:sRNA from 1 species
UUAGUCGGGUCAUUCCCUUUUUAAUUUGCACUCUACUGUGUGUUGUCUGAUCAUUUAUCUAGGGCUUUUACGUGUGAUUGGUUACAAAUGGAGUCCAAUGUAUUCAGUUACCUUGAAAUGGAAUUCAUUGGAGGUGUUUGCGGAAAACUCAAUAAACAGUUGUUAGGAAUCACGGACAAAUUAGGAAAUUCUUGUUGUGUAUUUGUCUUUGCCAGGACAACAUUCGAAAUACAAGAGCCUUGAUUGCACUUAUGACACGGUUUCUUGCCGUUGAACAUGGUAUAUAUCGUAUUCUUCAAUAAUUCUUGUUUACAUUUCCGGAUAUAUAUUUGAGUGCGAAUUACCUCACAUGAUUCUGUUACUUUACAGAAUCUUUGAUAUACCGAAAGGAUCGAGGAAUUCCAAUAGAAUGUAAGGUAGUUUGAAAACCUUAAAGAAACUCUCGUUGUUUUGAAUCACUUAAGAAAAGCAAAACAUAGGAAGGUGAAAAUCUAUGUUUAUUUAUGUAUUUAUCAUUUUGCCACUUAUUGCUGUGUGCAUGAAUUUAUAAAAGGGGAAAACACUGACAUAAAGUAUGUAUACGGGAAAAUCUACGUUGUAUUAGGUUGUAUUAAACUUAUGGACUUCUUGCCAUUGAAUUUAAUUUUGAUUUUUAAAAAGAAUACAAAAAAUAUACUAACUAUAUAAUAAUAUAGAAUGCAUUUAGGAUGUAUAUAUACUAGCUUAUUCAGAAGUUCAAGUGUUCAGAAAUUUAGGAAAAUUGUCCUAGUUAAAGAUAUUAUCGAUCACUCCCUUAAUGUUUCAAGAAUAUGGAUUACUAAUAAUCAAAUAAUAGGAAUUUAGACUUGUUUUCUUCAUAUUAAUUUUCUUCAUUUAAUUUUACUAUAACAUUUAUAUUUGUUUUGUUCUUUUUCUGUAAAACAGAAUAAAAAAAAUAAUUUAAUUACUGCGAAAAACCUGGGGAUUCCCCGAGCCACAAAGUGUCGUAAUAAAGAACAUCUUAUGCAGUGUUAGGCACUUAAUUCAAAGUUUUGACAAUAUUUGAAGAUUUUUGGUUCUCUACCUGAACAAAUUUGCGAUUUGCAAUUCGUAUUAUGUUACCUUUUUAAUUGUUUAGGAGAUAAUUAAACUUCCUAAUUCAGUCACGGAAAUCACCAAAGUUUAAUCCAAACGCCCUUGAAUUUACUUGAAUGUCACACUAAAAUGAGAACUUUAAUGUUCCAAAAGAUUAAAGCCCAUGUCAUAUUUUUAAAAUGAUAAGUACUAUCAUUUUUUCGCAAUGUGUUUUGGCUCUUAAAAUGUUGCGUAGAACAGAUUACGGAAUUGUUGUUUCAUCAUGAUUUUCAUGGAAGACUUGAUAUAAUUUUUCAAGGAUUUUACAAAUUUUAUACAUGCUAACCAAGAUAUUACAUGAGUUGUUAUUUUUGGAAUAAACAUUCUGAGGCAUUUCG